rnacentral:rRNA from 1 species
GGACGAACGCUGGCGGCGUGCUUAACACAUGCAAGUCGAGCGGUAAGGCUCCUUCGGGAGUACACGAGCGGCGAACGGGUGAGUAACACGUGAGUAACCUGCCCCAUUCAUCGGAAUAACCAGUGGAAACGCUGGCUAAUGCCGAAUAUGACCAUCGAGCGCAUGCUCUGGUGGUGGAAAGCUCCGGCGGAGUGGGAUGGACUCGCGGCCUAUCAGCUUGUUGGUGAGGUAACGGCUCACCAAGGCGACGACGGGUAGCCGGCCUGAGAGGGUGACCGGCCACACUGGGACUGAGACACGGCCCAGACUCCUACGGGAGGCAGCAGUGGGGAAUAUUGGACAAUGGGCGAAAGCCUGAUCCAGCAACGCCGCGUGAGGGAUGACGGCCUUCGGGUUGUAAACCUCUUUCAGCAGGGACGAAGCGAGAGUGACGGUACCUGCAGAAGAAGGACCGGCCAACUACGU